GUCCACGCCGUAAACGAUGUCGACUUGGAGGUUGUGCCCUUGAGGCGUGGCUUCCGGAGCUAACGCGUUAAGUCGACCGCCUGGGGAGUACGGCCGCAAGGUUAAAACUCAAAUGAAUUGACGGGGGCCCGCACAAGCGGUGGAGCACGUGGUUUAAUUCGAUGCAACGCGAAGAACCUUACCUGGUCUUGACAUCCACGGAAGUUUUCAGAGAUGAGAAUGUGCCUUCGGGAACCGUGAGACAGGUGCUGCAUGGCUGUCGUCAGCUCGUGUUGUGAAAUGUUGGGUUAAGUCCCGCAACGAGCGCAACCCUUAUCCUUUGUUGCCAGCGGUCCGGCCGGGAACUCAAAGGAGACUGCCAGUGAUAAACUGGAGGAAGGUGGGGGUGAUGUCAAGUCAUCAUGGCCCUUACGACCAGGGCUACACACGUGCUACAAUGGCGCAUACAAAGAGAAGCGACCUCGCGAGAGCAAGCGGACCUCAUAAAGUGCGUCGUAGUCCGGAUUGGAGUCUGCAACUCGACUCCAUGAAGUCGGAAUCGCUAGUAAUCGUGGAUCAGAAUGCCACGGUGAAUACGUUCCCGGGCCUUGUACACACCGCCCGUCACACCAUGGGAGUGGGUUGCAAAAGAAGUAGGUAGCUUAACCUUCGGGAGGGCGCUUACCACUUUGUGAUUCAUGACUGG
rnacentral:rRNA from 1 species